rnacentral:rRNA from 1 species
GAUGAACGCUGGCGGCGUGCCUAAUACAUGCAAGUCGAGCGAACAGACGAGGAGCUUGCUCCUCUGACGUUAGCGGCGGACGGGUGAGUAACACGUGGAUAACCUACCUAUAAGACUGGGAUAACUUCGGGAAACCGGAGCUAAUACCGGAUAAUAUAUUGAACCGCAUGGUUCAAUAGUGAAAGACGGUUUUGCUGUCACUUAUAGAUGGAACCGCGCCGCAUUAGCUAGUUGGUAAGGUAACGGCUUACCAAGGCAACGAUGCGUAGCCGACCUGAGAGGGUGAUCGGCCACACGGGAACGGAGACACGGUCAAGACUCCUACGGGAGGCAGCAGUAGGGAAUCUUCCGCAAUGGGCGAAAGCCUGACGGAGCAACGCCGCGUGAGUGAUGAAGGUCUUCGGAUCGUAAAACUCUGUUAUUAGGGAAGAACAAAUGUGUAAGUAACUAUGCACGUCUUGACGGUACCUAAUCAGAAAGCAACGGCUAACUACGUG